rnacentral:rRNA from 1 species
GAGUUUGAUCCUGGCUCAGGACGAACGCUGGCGGCGUGCCUAACACAUGCAAGUCGAACGGAGUUAUUUAAGAGCUUGCUUUUGAAUAACUUAGUGGCGGACGGGUGAGUAACGCGUGAGGAACCUGCCUUUCAGAGGGGGAUAACGUCUGGAAACGGACGCUAAUACCGCAUGAUAUUCCGGUGUCACAUGGCACUGGAAUCAAAGGAGCAAUCCGCUGAAAGAUGGACUCGCGUCCGAUUAGCCAGUUGGCGGGGUAACGGCCCACCAAAGCGACGAUCGGUAGCCGGACUGAGAGGUUGAACGGCCACAUUGGGACUGAGACACGGCCCAGACUCCUACGGGAGGCAGCAGUGGGGGAUAUUGCACAAUGGAGGAAACUCUGAUGCAGCAACGCCGCGUGAGGGAAGAAGGUCUUCGGAUUGUAAACCUUUGUCCUUGGUGACGAUAAUGACGGUAGCCAAGGAGGAAGCUCCGGCUAACUACGUGCCAGCAGCCGCGGUAAUACGUAGGGAGCGAGCGUUGUCCGGAUUUACUGGGUGUAAAGGGUGCGUAGGCGGCUCUGCAAGUCAGGUGUGAAACCCAUCGGCUUAACUGAUGGACUGCAUUUGAAACUGUGGGGCUUGAGUGGAGCAGAGGCAGACGGAAUUCCCGGUGUAGCGGUGAAAUGCGUAGAGAUCGGGAGGA